rnacentral:lncRNA from 1 species
CAAGAUUAAGAGAUGGACAUUUUAGCAAAACUAAGUGAAAACGUUGUAAAAUUUUCAGAUUAUGUUUCUGCAUUUAAACAUUUAGUGAGAGAAGUAGUGCACAAGUCUAUCCAGUCAAACUUGAAAUGGCUGACACAUGUUAACCGUAUUCACCCCAGGUAUUGACACCUAAAAUGCCCUGAACUCUUUUCAUUUAGAUUAACAAAGUAUUGUUUUUGUCUUCGUCCUCUAAAUUCUGGCUUAGACAGAAUUAUCCAGCCAUUUCAUGUAGAUUUGAUUCUAGAUCUUGACACAGCACAUUUUCAACUUAAUGUUUCUGCAGAUAGAAAAGCUGUGUAAUAUGGAAGAACAAAACCAAACAUUUAUUACAGUUCAAGGAGAUUUUGUUUGUGCCCUGCUGUCCUGGAUUCUCAGAAGUGUAGGGCUGGCAGACAUUACUGGAAGGCAGAAGUGGGAAACAAGCCUAAAUGAGAAUUCCGUGUGCGUCAAGUUUGUCUUCUUAGGAACUGGAAGGAUCAGCCUUCAAUUCUGGGUAGAUUACGGGCAGUUGGGGGGGUAUAUAAAGAGUGGUUACGUUCCAUCAGGUUCUAAGUCAAUCCACCUUCUGCAAGUAGUAAAACCCAGUAAAAUUAGUAUUUGUUUGAAAUAUGAAUUGGGUGAUUUUUAAAAAUAAUACACAUAAUAGGUUUGCUCUGUAUAUUUUUUAAUGAUUCUUUCACAAGAGCUCUUUAGCCUUAUUUCUUUACUCAAGCAGAUUCUGAAUGUCAUAAAAUCUGCUUAUUAUCAGAUACUGAAAGAUAA